UACGUAGGGGGCAAGCGUUGUCCGGAUUUAUUGGGCGUAAAGAGCGUGUAGGCGGUCCGGUAAGUCAGCUGUGAAAGUCAAGGGCUCAACCCUUGAAAGCCGGUUGAUACUGUCGGGCUAGAGUCCGGAAGAGGCGAGUGGAAUUCCCGGUGUAGCGGUGAAAUGCGCAGAUAUCGGGAGGAACACCAAUGGCGAAGGCAGCUCGCUGGGACGGUACUGACGCUGAGACGCGAAAGCGUGGGGAGCAAACGGG
rnacentral:rRNA from 1 species